rnacentral:misc_RNA from 1 species
AUUGGCGUGUAAGGGCAUGUCGGAUCCCUGCUCGAGCAGCGACGGCAUUCCAUGCACAUCUCUUCAGAUAUUGGCUCAAGUGCAUGCAAGCCUUGGCCGUUGUCGGUCUCCUGUGCUGCAUACCCACCACGAUGGCAUUCGAUCGGCUCAAACGUCCCCUUUUCGCCUUGUGCUGUGCCUCCAUAGGCUGCGGCACGGGGUGAACCACGAAGCAUGCGCUGUGUUCCACUUCCCGAUACCUUUUUCUCGGGUUUGUUGGCCCAUGGCGGCUGCUCGAUCUCUCGAAUGCAGAAAGUCCAAUCGGUACGAGGCCCUCAAGCCUCCAUUUGCCCCCAAACAAAGCGUGUUCCACGCUCAUCGGAACGACUGCCGCUCCCAUUUCGAUCGAGCCCUCGUGUCUCGAUUCGUACGGCGACGGCGUCGAUGAGGAAUGCUAC